rnacentral:tRNA from 2 species
GCUCGAGUGGCGGAAUGGCAGACGCUCCAGAUUCAAAUCCUGGCGCUCCUUGGCGAGCUUGUGAGUUCGACUCUCACCUCGAGCA